GAAAAUUAUUAAAUGUCCUCUUUGGUCUAGCCUGUAGUUAUAGAGGUGAGCUGUGAUAUCACGGGUGGGAAUGGAUUUUGGUUGGUAGCGACAGCAUUGCAUGAGGAGAAGCUGUAUUGCUUCCACAGUGAUUCUCCUAAUGGAAGGCCCAUCGCAGUCGAUUGCUUUACCUUUGGGCCAUGAUACGGUGAGUGACCCACAAGCCCAGCAACUGUUAAUGGGAGUUACAUUUUCAGUAGGCUCUCAACAAUGAGCCAAUGAUGAUUGAAAUUCAUAGAAAAAAGCAAUGUUGUUU
rnacentral:misc_RNA from 1 species